ensembl:lncRNA
GGGGGUUUGGAGGGGAGGGGUGAAGGGGCGGGAAGUACGGGGGGUGCAAGACCUUCCUGCCUGACCUCUCACCAUCUUCACCCUCCUGACGGGAAGUGUUCAAUAAUUUAGCAGAACUUCAGAAAAGUCACUCGUAGAGACUUUCUGUUUUCCUCUCUUUCUCUCUCGUUCUCUCUCUCGUUCUCUCUCUCUUCUCUCUUGCUCUCUCUCUCGUUCUCUCCCUCCCCCCUCUCUGCUUUCAGUGCACUUGCCGCCGCCUCCACACGCACAGACACACGCACAGACACACACACACUCGCACACAGUGAUCCUGAAACACAAAAGCGGCCGCUUUCUCAUCCCUCCUCCAUUUGAAUGUCCCCAUCUCCUCCCCAUCCUCCCCCAUCCCCUGCCGCAUUUCAUCCCCCGACCUGAAAAGAAGCCCCUCCCUCCAGACUGCCACCGCGGAGCAGAGACCCCCCCUGCGUCUUGUUUUCUCUCCGAUACUUUAAGCCCCGUCUACUAGCCCCACCUAAUUCCCCCCAUCGCUGUGACGUUUUGGCCAUCCUCUCCUUCUGUUCCACACCCCUCUCGGUGAAGCGAGAGCUACUUGAUAUUCUGCUGUGUGUAUCUAGGUCCUGUUAAUUAGCUCAUUGGUCCUCUAAUGUGUGUGUAACUAGAGUCCUAGAAUCGUAGGGUUCAUCAACCACCACACCUGCUGGAAACACGUUUGAUGCUUGGUUAACGUCUUAAGUAACAGUGGCCAACAUGUAGUUUGAUUAGAAUCUCGCUCAAAAUCCGCCCUUUAUUCCCCCUUAAGUCUCUUGGGAACCGGACGCUACAUGAGGGAACGCCCGUACGCUCACGGUUUUACCCGUGGAACCGAUCGGGCGUGGUGUGAGGAGACGUCGGUGGGGGCAGGCUGUGCUGGGAGGUCCGUAGCAUAGCAGCGUACGCCCCGGCGCCGUAGUCGUGUGUUACCGUAGUCGUGUUGUGCGUGACGGCGGCGCAGCCAUUAAGGACAACCGCCGUCCAUCUCUGCCAGGAACGCCUAGGAACAUGUAGCAAACCCACCUUAAAACCCUGACGCCUGACCAACAGGUCUAAAUAAAGAUAACAGUAAUAUAAAUGUCAAAAAAAAACGAAUCCAUUGUAAAUAGCAUAGAUUAUUAAAGAAAAAAAAAAAGGACUAAGUGACCACAGUUUUAUGUGGGCCCGGCGGUCACCUGACGCCCCGCCUCGUGGAAGGGAAGCAGGUGAAGGCGAUCCUUCACGCCACAGCCCUCCGCUCCUCUUUCCAAGUGUGCAGGCACAACUUGUAGGCGAAAUAUGCCAAAGCUUUUCUACCAUUUGCAUAACCAUUUCUAUAAGGAACUCUGUCUGAAUGUAGCCGUCUCCCUCUCCCUCCCUCUCUCUCUCUCUCUCUCUCUCUCUCUCUCUCUCUCUUUCUCUCUCCCCAGUGUGAUGUCUAAAGCCUAGAUAUUCCUUCUGCAAGAUAAACUAUUGUAUUGUUUUUACAACCCUGUUGUGAAGCUGUAUGUGUUGAAAAGUACACGCAAGCACGCACGCGCACAACCACACACACACACACACACACACACACACACACACACACACACACACACACACACACACACACACACACACACACAUAACGUAUUUGAGAUGGAUAUACCAUCAGGACUCAAUGAUUAGAUUAUUAAGCCUCUUCUACAGGAUAUGAAAUUGAAUAUUUUAAUCCAUGCAAACAUGCCAUGAAAAGAUAAGUGCAUUAUUUACAUCCCGUGGUCUUUUUGCAUGUACUAAACCUGUAUUAGCCUGUUUUUUAUCCCGAGCCUGGAUCUGACUCGUGUCUGGCUCACCUGUGCAUGCACAAGCUUUUGUUAAUUGCAAGCCUUGACGCUCGGUCCAAGAUUGACACAGGUGGCGCCCAAUCAGAGUAAAGAAGGAGUAUUACGUAAGCAUCUGUACCUGUACAACCGAUAGAGUUCCUGUGGCGUAUGGACGGCAUGAUAAGUGUAGAUUAUAUCCAGUGUCUUUUCGCAUCCGAAAGGUUUUCCUAAUGCCUUGUUCAAGAAUGCCGGCUUUUGCCCUCUCUGGAUGAUUUGAUUUGUUUAAGAAAAAUCGAAGCAUUUGACCUUUUCCGCAGGUUAACCUUUCCCCUUUAUCAGUUUAGGAGAAAUGGAACAUAGAGGGUUGGUUUAGCACCAGGGCAGCUUUUGUUGUCUCUAUUUAAUAUGCUGAAUGUUCAACAGGCAGAAAUAAGUGGUGUCAUUUCAGAUAACUUUAAUAGGUGGUCCAGUCUCGCUUUAAAGACAGACCAUCAGAAUAAAUGACAGAACCUUUGUUACUAUUAAACAUUUGACUACAGAAAUAUGCUAUCUAAUAUAAAUAAUUAUUUUGAUAAGUGAUUUUUGUGUAGAUUGUCUACUGCAGUACUGUCAUCGGUGAUCAAUCCUAAUUCGGCAUUUCUUGCAAAUCCUUUCAAUGUUUUCUCUGUGUAUUCGUGUGUUGGACUUUGUCAUUGUGAGCAUAUUAACCUGAGCUGUUGGAAUAUAUUGUGUUAGUGUCUUGCCAAGAAAAAAAACAGCAUGACUUCUAUUUUAAACAUUUGAAUCCAUUUGAACAACAUACAAACCAGUGCCAUGUUGAGAAAACCAACGUCAUGAAUGCCAUUCCUUCCCUGUGUGUUCCUGUUCGACAACAAGUAUUCUACACUGCAGAAACCAAAUGACCUGCAAGUCAGGGCCACCAACAACCAAGGCCUUGUACAGAACCCACUCAACCCCCCUGUGUUUAAAAUAAAACAUGCUGCUUUUAAGUGCUUUGAUAAAGAAAUAAAAUUACUACCAACGGU